UGGGGGAUAUUGCACAAUGGGCGAAAGCCUGAUGCAGCGACGCCGCGUGGGGGAUGAAGGCCUUCGGGUUGUAAACUUCUUUUGCUCUGAACAAGGCAUGCCUUUGGGGUGUGUUGAGUGUAGGGGUUGAUUAGCGCCGGCUAACUACGUGCCAGCAGCCGCGGUAAUACGUAGGGCGCGAGCGUUGUCCGGAAUUAUUGGGCGUAAAGGGCUUGUAGGUGGCUGGUUGCGUCUGUCGUGAAAGCUCAUGGCUUAACUGUGGGUUUGCGGUGGGUACGGGCUGGCUUGAGUGCAGUAGGGGAGGAUGGAAUUCCUAGUGGAGCGGUGGAAUGCGCAGAUAUCAGGAAGAAUACCGGUGGCGAAGGCGGGUCUCUGGGCUGUUACUGACGCUGAGGAGCGAAAGCGUGGGGAGCGAACAGG
rnacentral:rRNA from 1 species